UGGGGGAUAUUGCACAAUGGGCGAAAGCCUGAUGCAGCGACGCCGCGUGGGGGAUGAAGGCCUUCGGGUUGUAAACUUCUUUUGCUCUGAACAAGGCAUGCCUUUGGGGUGUGUUGAGUGUAGGGGUUGAUUAGCGCCGGCUAACUACGUGCCAGCAGCCGCGGUAAUACGUAGGGGGCGAGCGUUGUCCGGAAUUAUUGGGCGUAAAGGGCUUGUAGGUGGCUGGUUGCGUCUGUCGUGAAAGCUCAUGGCUUAACUGUGGGUUUGCGGUGGGUACGGGCUGGCUUGAGUGCAGUAGGGGAGGCUGGAAUUCCUGGGGUAGCGGUGAAAUGCGCAGAUAUCAGGAGGAAUACCGGUGGCGAAGGCGGGUCUCUGGGCUGUUACUGACGCUGAGGAGCGAAAGCGUGGGGAGCGAACAGG
rnacentral:rRNA from 1 species